UACGUAGGGUGCAAGCGUUAAUCGGAAUUACUGGGCGUAAAGCGUGCGCAGGCGGUUGUGCAAGACAGAUGUGAAAUCCCCGGGCUCAACCUGGGAACUGCAUUUGUGACUGCACGGCUAGAGUGUGUCAGAGGGGGGUAGAAUUCCACGUGUAGCAGUGAAAUGCGUAGAUAUGUGGAGGAAUACCGAUGGCGAAGGCAGCCCCCUGGGCCGAUACUGACGCUCAGGCACGAAAGCGUGGGGAGCAAACAGG
rnacentral:rRNA from 1 species